GUUGGGAAGAGUUCUGCUGAACCCAGUUUGAAGUUGCACUUGUUGUGGCUUGGAAUGCAGCCGUUGUAUCAAGACGUGAAAAUCAGUGAUCUGGCGUUGUAAACAGAGCGAGGACAAUGUCUAAAUUAUUCAUAUAUUGUAAUUAUUCAAUUCUUUUCAAUGAUUUAUUGUAUUGGUAGCCGUUGCCGUCGCGUUGCCGUCC